GUUUCAGCAACUAUAUAAGGAACGCAUCGGAUUUCAAUUCAGUUCGUUCAUUUCUCAAUUCUCAAUCACAAUUUCUGUAGUAGGCUUAUUAUACUCGGGUAUUAUACCCCCUAAUUAGCGAAGCUCUGCCUCGCUAAUAUAACCAGGAAGUCACAAAGGAAAGCCCUAUAAUAGCAAUUAUGACCGUAACUUAGUAUGAAGCCAAUA
rnacentral:lncRNA from 1 species